CGGUUGAUCCUGCCGGAGGCCACUGCUAUUGGGAUCCGAUUAAGCCAUGCGAGUCGAGAGGGUUCGGCCCUCGGCAGACUGCUCAGUAACACGUGGAUAACCUACCCUUAGGUGGAGGAUAAUCUCGGGAAACUGAGAAUAAUACUCCAUAGAUCUAGGAUGCUGGAAUGCAUCUAGAUUGAAAGUUCCGGCGCCUAAGGAUGGGUCUGCGGACUAUCAGGUUGUAGUCAGGGUAAAGACCUGACUAGCCUACGACGGAUAUGGGUUGUGAGAGCAAUAGCCCAGAGACGAUAUCUGAGACACGAUAUCGGGCCCUACGGGGCGCAGCAGGCGCGAAAUCUUCACAAUGUGCGAGAGCACGAUGAGGGGAUCCCAAGUGCUGGCACGUAAGUGUCAGCUGUUUCUUAGUCUAAAAAACUGAGAGAGUAAGGGCUGGGUAAGACGGGUGCCAGCCGCCGCGGUAAUACCUGCAGCUCAAGUGGUGACCACUAUUAUUGGGCCUAAAACGUCCGUAGCCUGUUUAGUAAAUGCUUGGGUAAAUUGUGUAGCUUAACUAUACGAAUACCGGGUAGACUGCUAAACUUGGGACCGGGAGAGGCUAGAGGUACUCCUGGGGUAGAGGUGAAAUUCUGUAAUCCUNGGGGACCACCAGUGGCGANNNGUCUAGCUAGAACGGGUCUGACGNNGAGGGACGAGCCCUGGGGCGCAAACCGGAUUANNAUACCCNGGUAGUCC
rnacentral:rRNA from 1 species